AGUGAACGCUGGCGGCGUGCCUAAUACAUGCAAGUCGAACGGAGACAAUAAAGCUUGCUUUAUUGUCUUAGUGGCGGACGGGUGAGUAAUAUGUAGCUAAUCUGCCCCUUAGUGGAGGACAACAGUUGGAAACGACUGCUAAUACUCCAUACUCCUUUUUAACAUAAGUUAAAAAGGGAAAGUUUUUUCGCUAAGGGAUGAGGCUACACUGUAUCAGCUAGUUGGUAAGGUAAAAGCUUACCAAGGCUAUGACGCAUAACUGGUCUGAGAGGAUGAUCAGUCACAUUGGAACUGAGACACGGUCCAAACUCCUACGGGAGGCAGCAGUAGGGAAUAUUGCGCAAUGGGGGAAACCCUGACGCAGCAACGCCGCGUGGAGGAUGACACUUUUCGGAGCGUAAACUCCUUUUCUUUGGGAAGAAACAUGACGGUACCAAAGGAAUAAGCACCGGCUAACUCCGUGCCAGCAGCCGCGGUAAUACGGGGGGUGCAAGCGUUACUCGGAAUCACUGGGCGUAAAGGGUGUGUAGGCGGAUAAAUAAGUCUUUUGUGAAAUCUAACGGCUCAACCGUUAAACUGCUUAGGAAACUAUUUAUCUAGAGUAAGGGAGAGGCAAAUGGAAUUCUUGGUGUAGGGGUAAAAUCCGUAGAGAUCAAGAAGAAUACCCAUUGCGAAAGCGAUUUGCUAGAACUUAACUGACGCUAAUGCACGAAAGCGUGGGGAGCAAACAGGAUUAGAUACCCUGGUAGUCCACGCCCUAAACGAUGUAUACUAGUUGUUGCUUUGCUAGUCAAGGCAGUAAUUCACCUAACGGAUUAAGUAUACCGCCUGGGGAGUACGGUCGCAAGAUUAAAACUCAAAGGAAUAGACGGGGACCCGCACAAGCGGUGGAGCAUGUGGUUUAAUUCGAAGAUACGCGAAGAACCUUACCCGGACUUGAUAUCUAACAAAUCUCAUAGAGAUAAGAGAGUGCUUGCUUGCAAGAAUGUUAAGACAGGUGCUGCACGGCUGUCGUCAGCUCGUGUCGUGAGAUGUUGGGUUAAGUCCCGCAACGAGCGCAACCCACGUAUUUAGUUGCUAACGGUUAGGCCGAGCACUCUAAAUAGACUGCCUUCGUAAGGAGGAGGAAGGUGUGGACGACGUCAAGUCAUCAUGGCCCUUAUGUCCGGGGCGACACACGUGCUACAAUGGCAUAUACAAUGAGAUGCAAUAUCGCGAGAUGGAGCAAAUCUAUAAAAUAUGUCCCAGUUCGGAUUGGAGUCUGCAACUCGACUCCAUGAAGCCGGAAUCGCUAGUAAUCGUAGAUCAGCCAUGCUACGGUGAAUACGUUCCCGGGUCUUGUACUCACCGCCCGUCACACCAUGGGAGUUGAUUUCACUCUAAGCGGGGAUGCUAAACUAGCUACCCUCCACAGUGGAAUCAGCGACUGGGGUG
rnacentral:rRNA from 1 species